rnacentral:rRNA from 1 species
AUGGAAAUUAUUGUUGUUUCCCAAACAAAAAACAUGGCAAAUUUGCAAUGCUGGUGCAUAUCAAACUUGCCAUCACUGCAAACAAAUUUGCCAUCAUUUUUAAUGGGUCACAUUUUUAUCUCUAACUUGCCAUCUGUUCUAGAACAAACCACAAACUGGCAGCCUACAAAAAAUGUUGGAGCGAUGUGCAAUGUUAAUACACAAAAAACACUAGGGAUUUCACAUCCUACAGCUGAUACAACAUGGACGACCUGGAGGUGUCGCAUAUGCAGGAUCAGAGAAACAAAAAUCAGAGAUUCUGACCAAAUAAAUAGGCGAGCAGCGGUCUGA